GGAUAUAUGAGGGCGGCCUGGUGGUGGCAUCAUUGAUAACACUGGCUGAUCUGGCUGACUAGGUGGGUGCCUCCAUCCUCAUAACUCCAUGGAUAUCUCUUGAAGCUGCACGCCUGGAGGAAGAGGGAGGAUGACCUUCUCCCGAAUAGAGGAGAGGCCCCGGUCUCGGGUCAGAGGGCACAGAUGCAGCUGUCCCUCCCCCCUGCUGGAACAUCCGGACAAACUCUCAAUGGACAUAUGUGAGAUCCACAGCGAGGGCCGGGCAUGCACAUUUCAUGGAGAAUUGAAGUUCAUAAACCAGGAGGCUU
rnacentral:snRNA from 1 species